rnacentral:rRNA from 1 species
CAAUACAGUUGAUGGCGACCGGCAAACGGGUGCGGAACACGUACACAACCUUCCUUUUAGUGGAGAAUAGCCCAGGGAAACUUGGAUUAAUACUCCGUAACAUAUACCUGUGGCAUCACUUUUAUAUUAUAGCAGCAAUGCGCUAGAAGAUGGGUGUGCGGCUGAUUAGAUAGUUGGCGGGGUAACGGCCCACCAAGUCGACGAUCAGUAACUGGUGUGAGAGCACGACCAGUCACACGGGCACUGAGACACGGGCCCGACUCCUACGGGAGGCAGCAGUAAGGAAUAUUGGUCAAUGGACGCAAGUCUGAACCAGCCAUGCCGCGUGGAGGAUGAAGGUCCUCUGGAUUGUAAACUUCUUUUAUUUGGGAAGAAACCCAUCUUUUCUAAGAUGGUUGACGGUACCAGAUGAAUAAGCACCGGCUAACUCCGUGCCAGCAGCCGCGGUAAUACGGAGGGUGCAAGCGUUAUCCGGAUUCACUGGGUUUAAAGGGUGCGUAGGUGGGCAAGUAAGUCAGUGGUGAAAUCUCCGGGCUUAACCCGG